GUUGUCGUCGCCAUUUUGUACUACGGUCCACGACCGAUCCGCUUGGUAACCGAUAGUCGCUGUGCAGUCGCUGCUCAACAAUACUCAUCAGUGUUGGAUGUGAAUUAAACAGCCGAAAUCUAGGAGCCGAUCAAGAGUGAAAAGAACUUACGAGAGAUAAACACAUAAGUACUUACUUACUCCUACAAAUACAGUGAAUUAUAAUAAGUAGUGAUUAACUGAACGGAAAUCAACUGGACCGAACGGAGACUGCAAGCUGCGACGGGACUUCACGUUCAAGCUGUUAAGUAUUCCGGAGUGCUGCGACUAUGGCGAGAUUCUUCCUCGUUACGGGUUGGCUGGACCCGGUUUCUUCCGGUGCUCCGUUGACGAUGAAUAUACAAACACGUUUACAAACGAUCAGGGGUUUGGUCCUCGCUGACAGUUUUGGCGCGCUGGUUCUCGCCACUAGAUCGAGUUCGCAGGUUGUGGAUAGCGGUAUUUAAACACUCCCUUGUCGUGGGGGUGACAAAUGGAAUAAUUUCAGAAUACAACUGCCCGAACAGCGAACUUGCACGCAUGAACGGUUCGGGAUGGUGGUCUCCACCGAUGCGGGCCGUUCGCGUAAAAUGUGAUACGUGCUUUGAGCUGCGGAGUCGGGUUACGAUCAAAAUUUACCCCUAAACCUGAUUGGGAGUCUCACGGAGCGGUUGCUGGUCGUCUGAGGGCUCUCCCGGGAGUCGGUCGACACGUCUCAGUUCAUAGAUUUUUUUGUGUUUUAACAAUCAUAUGGAUUCAUUCGGGAGCCAGAUCUUGGUUUUUCUGUGUUUCAACCUUCAUAAGGAUUCAUUCGGGAGCCAGGUAAA